UUAGUACUACAUUAAAAAUCUCAUCUACCCAAGUAAAUGCGGCUAAGAACUCAAAUACUCAAUUCAUCAGUUCCACAAGUACUGAAAACACCUUUCCUGGAGACUCACCGACUAAGAAAACAGUGACUGCAGAUGUGACUUCAGUCGACUUUGCUGGUAGUUUGACUUCACAGUCUUUGGCCAACAGCCACACGAUUACAGGAAAAACAACAACGCAAGAGAAAGCUGUUGGAUCCUCAACAGCCAGUGUAAUAUCUCAUUCAGAACUAACGUCAACUAGAAAUUUCAGUUCUACAGGGAUUACAGAAACACAGCCUUCAAUUUCGACUACUGAUAUAAUGACGGUUUCCACGGAAAAUGGACAGAGCACAGGUUCUCAGAAGGUGCUGCCUGACAAACACCUGACUGUAAUGACUGGAGAAUCUGUCAUUUUCUCAUUCAAAUACAAAUCGAUAUACAAAGACAAAGUGAAAUUCUGCUGCAAGAUGAUGUGGAUAGUCUGCAAAUACGUAGUCCGUUCUGACAUGAAAAAUCCUGGAUGGAAAAUCUUGAUCACUGACAACCAAUCGCUGCAGGUUUUUACAGUGACCAUGAAGAUGCUGUGGAUGAAAGACUCAGGCACUUACUGGUGUGGGGUGAGGAGGGUUCCACAGGGGGCAUACUGGUACAUACAGGUCAUUCAGGCAGUGAAAACUACAACCUCUCCCACUACUGUGAAGAAUGCUAAUAAUCAUGAAACGACUAUGAAUGGAAAUUCACAUUCAAAUUCCCCUGAUACUGCAUUAAUAAUCUCAACCACUGAAGUUGAAGCAGCUGAGAACGAAACCAUUGAACUGAUGAAUUACACAAGUAUUGAAUUCACCUUUCUAGGAAACUCAACAAUUAACAAUACAGUGACUCUAUCAACCGACCUCAAUUCCAGUGUUAUAUCACAGUCUGGACCAACAUCUACUAAAAGUAAAAGCUCUACAUGGAUUACAGAAGCACAGGCAGCAAUUUCGACUACUGAUAUGAUGACGGGUUCCACGGAAAAU